CCUACGGGCGGCUGCAGUGGGGAAUAUUGGACAAUGGGGGGAACCCUGAUCCAGCCAUGCCGCGUGUGUGAAGAAGGCCCUCGGGUUGUAAAGCACUUUCAGUGAGGAAGAACGCCUGGUGGUUAAUACCCAUCAGGAAAGACAUCACUCACAGAAGAAGCACCGGCUAACUCCGUGCCAGCAGCCGCGGUAAUACGGAGGGUGCGAGCGUUAAUCGGAAUUACUGGGCGUAAAGCGCGCGUAGGUGGCUUGAUAAGCCGGUUGUGAAAGCCCCGGGCUCAACCUGGGAACGGCAUCCGGAACUGUCAAGCUAGAGUGCAGGAGAGGAAGGUAGAAUUCCCGGUGUAGCGGUGAAAUGCGUAGAGAUCGGGAGGAAUACCAGUGGCGAAGGCGGCCUACUGGACUGACACUGACACUGAGGUGCGAAAGCGUGGGUAGCAAACAGGAUUAGAUACCCGUGUAGUC
rnacentral:rRNA from 1 species